UCUUGUUUUGGGGCUGAGUGUGGUGGUUUAUGUCUGUAAUCCCAACAUUUUGGGAGGCGGAGGCGGGUGGAUCACCUGAGGUCAGGAGUUCGAGACCAGCCUGGCCAACAUGGUCAAAUCCCGUCUCUUCUAAAAAUACAAAAAUUAGCCGGUGUGAUGUACAUGCCUGUAGUCCCAGGUACUGCAGUGGCUGAGGGAGGAGAAUCGCUUGAACCUGAAAGGCGGAGGUUGCAGUGAGCCAAGAUGGCACCACUGCACUCCAGCCUGGCGACAGGGCAAGAUUCCAUCUCAAAAAAAAAAGUGAUUUAUUUUAUUUCUUAAUUUUUAAACAUAUAAUAUGCCUUCUAGGUAGUUUUGUGAUUUGGAAAACCACAAAAGAAAACUGAAAUGUUUGAUGCCUUCCACAAUUUUUUAGAAAAAGAAUUCUGCUUCAAAUAGUGAAAUACAUUUGCAUCAGAUAGUAUGCUAGAUGAUGGUGAAAUGGAGAUGGAAAGGCUCAUCCCAGCUCUCAAGAACUGACUGUCUAUUGAACAAAGAGGUAAACAGAUGAUUACAGUAUGUGAAGAUAAAUGCACCACGGUGGGUAUGUGUAUUGGGCAAUGGGAACUCAUAGAAGUGUUAAAUCAAGUUUAGCCUAAAGCUGCCUCCAUAUAUAUUUAAGUUCAGUCUAAUGGUUUUACUGUACUUCGUGACCUAUAACAAGUGGAGGUGUAAACAGACCGUAGCCUACACUUGUGCCAGUCACGCAGUUUUGGCCAAUCAAAUGUAGCCAACUGUUUGAACCGUGUUCAAAUAAGGCAAGUGCUGAGCUGUUACCAAUCCAGCUGUUUCUGUACCUCAUUUCUGUUUUCUGUAUGUCACCUUCCUUUUUCUGUCCAUAUAUCUUCUUCCACCACGUGGCUGUGCUGAAGUCUCUGAGCCUAUUCUGGCUCAGAAGGCUGCCCAAUUUGCAAAUCGUUUAUUGCUCAAUUAAACUCCUUUAAAUUUAAUUCAGCUGAAGUUUUUCUUUUAUACGAAGGAAGCAUCCAUAUUUGCCUACAGGAGAUGAGCCUUAAGCUAACUCAGAAAAUGAAUAAGCCUUAGGCAAAGGUGAGAGCACAAGUCACACAGAGGUCACACAGUGCACAAAAAAAUAGGCAUGAGACAGUAUGAGAAGGUAUGAAACAUGGAGAUGAGGGGGUG
rnacentral:lncRNA from 10 species